rnacentral:rRNA from 1 species
UGGGGAAUUUUGGACAAUGGGCGAAAGCCUGAUCCAGCAAUGCCGCGUGUGUGAAGAAGGCCUUCGGGUUGUAAAGCACUUUUGUCCGGAAAGAAAUCCUUGGCUCUAAUACAGUCGGGGGAUGACGGUACCGGAAGAAUAAGCACCGGCUAACUACGUGCCAGCAGCCGCGGUAAUACGUAGGGUGCAAGCGUUAAUCGGAAUUACUGGGCGUAAAGCGUGCGCAGGCGGUUUGCUAAGACCGAUGUGAAAUCCCCGGGCUCAACCUGGGAACUGCAUUGGUGACUGGCAGGCUAGAGUAUGGCAGAGGGGGGUAGAAUUCCACGUGUAGCAGUGAAAUGCGUAGAGAUGUGGAGGAAUACCGAUGGCGAAGGCAGCCCCCUGGGCCAAUACUGACGCUCAUGCACGAAAGCGUGGGGGAGCAAACAGGAUUAGAUACCCUGGUAGUCCACGCCCUAAACGAUGUCAACUAGUUGUUGGGGAUUCAUUUCCUUAGUAACGUAGCUAACGCGUGAAGUUGACCGCCUGGGGAGUACGGUCGCAAGAUUAAAACUCAAAUGAAUUGAUGGGGUCAUAGCUGUUUCCU